AUGGGGAAGAGGUGGAAAUUAUCAGAUAUAUGCUUUGAAGUUUUGGAUCUUACUGAUGGGUAUGUCUUAAGUGAUUAUGGGAUGUCAAAGGUCCUUGAUUCAGAGCACUCUGAUUUCAAAAAAGGUGACUUGGUUUGGGGAAAAACUGGUUGGGAAGAGUUUAGCUUGAUUGCAAAGAACAGAAACACCGAAGCACCUCUUUCUUUGUACAUUGGUAUUUUAGGAAUGCCGGGGAUGACAGUCUAUGUUGGAUUUUUUGAGGUUUGCUCACCAAAAAAAGGUGAAUAUGUGUAUGUCUCAAUAGCAUCAAGGGCAGUUGGCCAACUUGUUGGCCAAUAUGCUAAAUUAGUAGGUCGCUAUGUAGUUAGAAGCGCUGGUUCUAAAGAAAAUGUUGAUUUAUUGAAGACAAAGUUUGGUUUUGAUGAAGCUUUCAACUGUAAAGAGGAGAAUGACUUGGUGGCCACUUUGAAAAGGUACUUCCCUCACGGCAUAGACAUCUACUUUGAGAAUAUGGGGGGUGCCAUGCAUGAUGCAGUUCUUUUAAAUAUGAGAGAACAUGGCCGGAUUGCAGCUUGUGGAAUGAUAGAGCAAAGAGAAUUCAUGUAAAAGGAUUUACAGUGUUUGGUUAUUGGCAUAUGUAUCUUCAGUUUCUGGAGACCACAAUUAAGAGCAUCAAAGAGGGGAAGAUGGCUUAUGUGAAAGACAUUGUUGAAGGCCUCGAGAAUGCACCCUCGGCUCUCGUUGGACUCUUAUCUGGUAGAAAUGUUGGGAAGCAAGUAGUUUUGGUGGCUCGUGAAUGA